rnacentral:rRNA from 1 species
AGUCGACGAUGAAUCUUCUAGCUUGCUAGAAGUGGAUUAGUGGCGCACGGGUGAGUAAUGCAUAGGUUAUGUGCCCUUUAGUCUGGGAUAGCCACUGGAAACGGUGAUUAAUACUGGAUACUCCCUACGGGGGAAAGUUUUUCGCUAAAGGAUCAGCCUAUGUCCUAUCAGCUUGUUGGUGAGGUAAUGGCUCACCAAGGCUAUGACGGGUAUCCGGCCCGAGAGGGUGAUCGGACACACUGGAACUGAGACCCGGUCCAGACUCCUACGGGAGGCAGCAGUAGGGAAUAUUGCUCAAUGGGGGAAACCCUGAAGCAGCAACGCCGCGUGGAGGAUGAAGGUUUUAGGAUUGUAAACUCCUUUUGUUAGAGAAGAUUAUGACGGUAUCUAACGAAUAAGCACCGGCUAACUCCGUGCCAGCAGCCGCGGUAAUACGGAGGGUGCAAGCGUCACUCGGAAUCACUGGGCGUAAAGAGUGCGUAGGCGGGGUAAUAAGUCAGAUGUGAAAUCCUGUAGCUUAACUACAGAACUGCAUUUGAAACUGUUACUCUGGAGUGUGGGAGAGGUAGGUGGAAUUCUUGGUGUAGGGGUAAAAUCCGUAGAGAUCAAGAGGAAUACUCAUUGCGAAGGCGACCUGCUGGAACAUUACUGACGCUGAUGCACGAAAGCGUGGGGAGCAAACAGGAUUAGAUACCCUGGUAGUCCACGCCCUAAACGAUGGAUGCUAGUUGUUGCCUUGCUUGUCAGGGCAGUAAUGCAGCUAACGCAUUAAGCAUCCCGCCUGGGGAGUACGGUCGCAAGAUUAAAACUCAAAGGAAUAGACGGGGACCCGCACAAGCGGUGGAGCAUGUGGUUUAAUUCGAAGAUACGCGAAGAACCUUACCUAGGCUUGACAUUGAUAGAAUCUACU